UCACAAUGUCUUUAUUUUACAGAACUGGAUUUCUCAAUGGCAUUUUUUCUAUUCCACUUAUCAAGCAAACAUGAAGGUAUUCUGAGUUUAGCAAAGCACGGCAGUGUUACACAUUGGUCUCAGGGUUAAAUCUAGGUCAGUCUCAUAAAAUAAACACUUGCAUGGAGACACAUAAGGUGCUCAGAGGGAAACAGGUCAAGAACAAACAGCAGUCAAACACACCAAUUCAAACAUGCCCUCAACACACUGCUCUUAACUUCAGUUGCUCUUCAUGAAUACUGCUGAAUUGAGUAGUUUGUAGUAUAACUCAGCAGCUGUACCUUGCAGUUUUAAGCAGGGCUCAAUGGAAAGACUGUGGAGUAGUUCAGCUUAUUUUUUAAAAAUUUUAAAUUUCAUUUGCUCAAAAGGAAUAUAUAUCCAUGUGUUUGGGUUUUGAAAAAGGCAUGACACCCAAACAGAAUUACAAAUUAGUGUGAUGCUGGUCUUUAGUAAAUUUACUGUCACAGUUACAACUGCAUCUCACAAGCCGGAUGUGGCAUCUACACAUGUAUUUUAGGUGGUUUUGAGGAAGGAGCACUUGAGCUCACCUGAACAAAAUUUUUGGGAACCACUAGUUUAACUGAUAAGAGUUUGAUCAUUUAUGAAUAAAAAUUGACUGGUUAAAGCUCUUCAAAACUGAGGUCAAACUAAUUUCAUUUUCAGACUUUCUCGUUAAGGUCUAGUGACCUAUGAUGGGAAUUUGUACAUCUUUUUUAUAUAAUAAUAUAAUAUUUAAAAAAAAUAGAUAUAUGGACAAUGAAAAAAUGUUAGCUGCAGCCGUAUUCAUGAUGGUACAAGAAACCUCAACAAGAGAUGUCAAUCCACCUUUUUAACAUCAAAAAUUAGACAUUACACAAUACAGGAUCUCAUUUCACAAUUCACUAUUUCACAAUACACCAUGAAAACAUUAACAAACCAUUUCAAUACCUAAUAUUUUUACAACAACAACAACAAAAAACUGUUCCCUUUUUCAGUGCUCCCACUUCAAUAAUUAUUUCACUAUUGCAAAACUAUGUAAAACUCCGGCAUUUGAAACAUCAUAGGCCUGUUUUAACUAUCGUAAUGUAUUCUAGAGAAGCCCUUAUUUUAGUCAGACAACUGUGGACAUAUUUUAGUGGUCCUCUGUGUGUGCAAACUAAAACUCAGCCUUAAUUCCAUUCCACCUUUCCCUCUGAAGGCUGAGACCAGCUAAAUUAUUCAUUAAUGGCUGAGCUGGGAUCUCACACAGCUAUGUAUGGGACAACCUGCAGUCACGCAGAUCCAUCCACCAGCUGCCUAAUAUCAGUCUACUUCACCUCACACUGCACCUAUAUAUAUCCAUCUUUCUCGUUGUCUGACAAUGUGGCAAGAAAUAUGUAAACAGCCAGUUUGCACAACUGUCAGUCAGACCGUCUGCAUUUAUUUAUCUGGGCAGCUGGUCAUGCAGAGAAGGUGUGUGUGAUUCUGUCAAUUAGAGAGAGAGAUGGAGUGUAGGUGUCACUGAGGGAGGAGAGGAACAUGCUACAGUAUGUGAGCUUCCUGUCUUUCCCUGUCUAAACCAUCUGAUACAGUCUGACACAAGAGAAGGGUGUGUAUACUUGCUCUCCUGAGGAUUGUUUCUAGAGGAACCAGUAUUCCCAGGUCUGCCCUGAAUUACAAGCGGUGUUAAGGCUGAGGUGUUUGUUUCACUGCUUAUAAUGGUGGUCCUAACAGCUCGAGUUGGUUAUGCAACACUUAGGUUUUGCUGCAACAGAACCAUGAAUUUUUUUAAAGCAACAAUUCAAUAUUUGACUGUUUUCUGAAAUGUUUGCAGAACAUGAUGUGACACUUCCUCUCAAUAAUAACCAGCAAACUGACAGUAAACUCUAUCGACAGUAAACGCAAUUGGUGAUAAACUAUUUUAUACGUGUGACUAUUUAAAUGUUGUUAUGGUUUACUACUCUAUAAUACCUUUCUGAUCUCUAAGGCUGUUGAUAUUAUUGUUCAAAAAUAUGUAUAUUGAACCAACAGAAGCAAAUCAUUGCCUUUGAAGGAUCAAUACUGUUACACUUUACAGUUCCGCAUUACUUUAGAAUUUAGGGAAUAAAACUGACAUUGAAUUUCAAACAUUUUCAUUUAGUGUUACAUUCAGAGAAUUGUCAUAUUAAAGGAAUAGUUUGACAUUUUUACAUUAUUUGCUUUAAUGCUGAAAGUUAGAAGAGAAGAUCAAUAUCACUCCCAUGACUUAUCCUGUAAAUAUAAGGCUACAGCCUGUUGGCUUAUCUUAGCAUAAAGACAGGGGGAAAUAGUCCAGCAAAUAACCCCACACAAAACCACAACUUUUCAUUUCUACAUUUCAGUUUUUGAACAGAUUAAAGGAACAAGAUAUAACGUGUUCAUUUGUGAGCCUUAGAUGUGUCAUUAGGCAGACUUUGAUAUCUUUGGAUGACGCCAGGCUAGCUGUUGCCCAGCUUCCAGUCUUUAUGCAAGCCUAGGCUAACAGGCUUCCGGCUGUGGCUUUAUGUUUACCACACAGAUAUGAGAGAGGUAUUGAUCUGCUCGUUUCACUCUCAACAGGAAAACAAAAACAUCAAACUAUCCCUUUAACAAAACAUACAGUGAAACACUUGACAGUUCAAAGUAUGUUAUUGGCAAUCUGCCACUGACUAAUCUUUGGUGCCAGUCAGUGUCAGCUGUUGACUGGUCAAUGGAAGAUACAAAUUAUUUUAUGCAACAGAUGCCCUGCUUUUCAAAGAUUGGUAUGUGGACUGACAGCUAACAGCAUUUUACUGAACCUGCAACCCACUUCCUGCCAAACUAUCACCCACCUGAGGAGAGGGACAGGCUGCCUCGCACAUCCUCUGCCACCUGACGCACAACACUGGAGUUACCGGGCACAUAGGCCAGCUACUUGAUAUCCAGGAGACUAAGGGCAGUCAUGGUGCUGCGGGUGCCAGUGGGACAGUGUCCAUGUGGACUCUGACAUACAGGAAGUGUCCAAGCUCCAAUCCAGGAUGUCGCCUACCAGUGUCUCCUCCUGAUUGGACAGCUCUGCUGUGGGAGUUGCCACAAAGCUGGCUCUGUGGGCCUGCAUACUGUCAUCACGUCUCCUUGGGAGAAAGUGGACAAGCAGUGGGUGACAGUGAGUCAUUGGAGCAUCUCACAGAUGGCACAAACAAAAACUCCUUCUGGACAACACAGUUCACAAAUAUGUUUGUCAUGGAGCACAGGAGACUGGGCAAGGAUAAGAACUGCUAAAUGUGCAAGAGUAGCAGUGGGGGGAGGGGUCACUUUGCUGUUAAUUAAUUGUUUCUCAUAACUGAAUUCUUUCCAUGUCUUUCAAGUCCCGUCUUAAAUACUAAGGUUCUAUCGAUUUUAUGCACAGUACAUUUUGCAAAGCUGGAAGCUAUAGUAUAUGAAUAUAAUAAAUAAAAUUUUUUCAACUGGGAUAUCCUUUUCUGGUCUUACAUGCUGCCUAAUAGUCAACUGAUACAGUUUCCAUAUCAUUUGACCUUUGGUGGUAGGUGCAAUAAGCAGUGAAUGUCUGCUUGGCCAAUUCUUACUGAUUUUUUUGUCAAACUGUGUCACAAGCAUCUAAGUUAGAUUGAAUUCUGAAGAGUAAUUCAAAUG